GCGUCCUUAGCUCAGCUGGAUAGAGCAACGGCCUUCUAAGCCGUGGGUCGCAGGUUCGAAUCCUGCAGGACGCG
rnacentral:tRNA from 1 species